rnacentral:rRNA from 1 species
GUUGUCGUCAGCUCGUGUCGUGAGAUGUUGGGUUAAGUCCCGCAACGAGCGCAACCCUUAAGCUUAGUUGCCAUCAUUAAGUUGGGCACUCUAAGUUGACUGCCGGUGACAAACCGGAGGAAGGUGGGGAUGACGUCAAAUCAUCAUGCCCCUUAUGAUUUGGGCUACACACGUGCUACAAUGGACAAUACAAAGGGCAGCGAAACCGCGAGGUCAAGCAAAUCCCAUAAAGUUGUUCUCAGUUCGGAUUGUAGUCUGCAACUCGACUACAUGAAGCUGGAAUCGCUAGUAAUCGUAGAUCAGCAUGCUACGGUGAAUACGUUCCCGGGUCUUGUACACACCGCCCGUCACACCACGAGAGUUUGUAACACCCGAAGCCGGUGGAGUAACCUUUUAGGAGCUAGCCGUCGAAGGUGGGACAAAUGAUUGGG